AUUUAUUUAUUUCUUUUUUACAAUAUUUUUUGUUGCGGUGGCGCUCACAAUAAGUAAAUGCCAUGGCGCAAUAAAAUAAACAAGCCGGCAUUAGUUUUAGCCGGCAAUGAGCGAACGCCAAACUGAAAAUGAGCCGGAUAUGCAGGUCUCCUGAUUUGUGAAAAAAAGGUAGUGCCAAGUUUGUGUUGAUUUUUGCUGAGUCGAUUCUUUUAGAUCGGCGUUGGAAAAAUGCAACUCUGUGCGUAUGAUUAUGUUUAGUAGAACAGUGAAGUGAAGAAAAGUAAAUAAAUUUGGAAAAUUGUGGGAAAAUCGAGAAGGGGAAAUUAGUCUUGGCGUCAUUUUUCCCGUAUAAAAGCGUAGAGAUAGCAAAAAGAAAACCAGAUUUUGUUGGUGCGCUAUAGAAAAAACAACAUUUUUAUUUCGUUUGCCAAAAUCGACAAUUUGGAAAAAGUCGGCAUUUAACAACGGUACAAAAUUAAGUUUUAUUGACGGGUUUAUACGGCUGCGUGCCUUGCAUUUAUUUUUAUAUUGGAUGAAUAAAAAUCAUAGAUAUUCCAUCAGAUUGCGAGCCAUUGCGAGGCCUUCCAACGGUUUACGCGGAAGGUCGCCUUGUUUAAACCAGCCAUAUGCCAUAGAAAAAUUUGUUUCGACAUCUAAGUUGCAGAAAGCCAGCAGAUUGAUGCGACAGUGUCCGUUGUGCCAGAAAAGAGCCAUAUAAUUUCCGCCGACAUAAGUUCCCACAAGCCAAUUAAGUAUCUGGCCAACCAGGUAACGAAGAUAAAAAAAAAAAAAUUUUUUAAUAGUUACCUCAUGUUAAGUGGAACCGGCACCGUAGCGCUUUAUCGACGGGUGUGAGGCGACCGUUAAACAUCUGAAAUAAAUUAACAAGGAAAUUAAAAUAUUAAUAAUUGAUGUGACAUUAAGUCCACAAAAAAACUAACCUAAAAUCAAAAUUAAAAAAAAAAAAAGAGAAACUAUAGUAUUAAUAUAAUGUUUUAGAAAUAAGUUGUGUUGUUUAGGAGUUAAUAUUCGUUUAUGUUUUAAUUUAAGUAUUAUUAUUGUGAGGAGAAUUAAUGCCACGAAACUCGUUCGACGUGAGUGAAGGAACACCCUCAACGUUCAACUAGGUUUAGACGAAACGUUUUUUCUUUUAGACAGGUUAAAGAAAUGUCUAGCCCUACCUAAUCGAGCUCCAUUAGGCAGAAUACCUUAGAUUAGUAAAAAAAUAGCCCGAAUUGGCCGAAUACCUAGUGUGAAGAUUGUUGUCGUCCCGAAUAUUGACUCACAUUCCUCGUGUUGUCUGGUGUUAAUAAUCCAUUAAGAGACCAUGAUAAAAGCAAUGUUAAUAAAUGUAUAUGUUUGAAUGUUAAGAUUAA